UGACCGGUCCUUUCGAGCUUCCAGUUCUUCUGGAUUUCAGUCCUGGAUGGCACUCUUGAUCAAGCUUUCGAACUGCUGCUGAAUCCAUGGGCAGUUAAGAUAGAACCAGGUGAAUUGAAAGAUCUUUGUAGCCAAAGGAAAAGGAAGAAAAAGUGAUUCCCGUAGUAAUGCCUGGCGAAAUGGGAGCUGCCUAAACCGUGAAAAUAGGGUUGUGGAAGAGAAAUACAAGAGUCGUACAUGUAGGCGAAGCAACCCGAAUGCUGCACCCUAGAUGGCAAAAGUCCAGUAGUCGAAAGCAUCACUAGCUUAGGCUCUGACACGAGUAGCAUGGGGCACAUGGAAUCCCGUGUGAAUUAGCAAGGACCACCUUGCAAGGCUAAAUACUCCUGGGUGACAGAUAGUGAUGUAGUACUGUGAGGGUAAAGAACCCCCGGGAGUGACACAGAACAUAAAAGUGUAAGCUCCCAAGCAAUGGGAGGAGCCAGGGCUCUAACCGCGUGCCUUUUGAAGAAUGAGUCGGCGACUCAUAGGUAGUGGCUUGGUUAAGGGACCCACCAGAGCCAUAACGACAGCGAGUCUUCAUAGGGAAAGUGUCACUGCUUAUAGACCCAAACCUGGGUUAUCUAUCCAUGACCAGGAUGAAGCUUGGAUGAAACUAAGUGGAGGUCCGACCGACUGAUGUUAAUGAAUCAGCGGGUGAGUUAUGGUUAGGGUUAAAUGUCAUUGCACCCAGGCUAGUUUGUUAUCCCCGAAAUGUGUUGAGGCGUAGCAGUUAACUGGACUUCUAGGGGUAAAUCAUUGUUUCGGUUGUGGCCGCAAGGGCGGUACCAAAUUGAGGCAAACACUGAAUACUAGAUAUGACCUCAAAAUAACAGGGGGGGAGGUUGGCUAGUGAGACGAUGGGGGAUGAGCCUCAUCGUCGAGAGGGAAAGAGCCCGGAUCACCAGUUAAGGACCCUAAAUAACAACUCAAUGAUGGGGGGGACAAGCCUCACCGUUGAGAGUGCAUAAUAGCUCACAGAUCGAGAUCUCUUGCGCCAAAGAGGACCGGGGCUAAGCGAUCUGCCGAAGAUGUGGGAUGUGAAAACACAUCGACAGGGAUAUUUAAAUUCCUUGUCAACUCUUUCCAGUAUUUUCCAAAAACCAGCAAUUAGGAAUAGAGAAUAUAUAUAUAAGAAAGGUCUAACUGUUGGAAUCAUUUUUUCAUUGCAAUUUGAUACAUUUCAGUCAUU
rnacentral:ncRNA from 1 species